AAUGAACGCUGGCGGCGUGCCUAACACAUGCAAGUCGGAUGUGCCGCAAGGUGCAUGGCAGACGGGUGAGUAACGCGUAGGGAAUCUACCUUUUUGUGGGGAAUAACGCUCCGAAAGGAGUGGUAAUACCGCAUGAGACCGUGAGCUGGGAUGUUCACGGUGAAACCUGGGGACCGCAAGGCCUGGGGCAAAAAGAGGAUCCUGCGUCUGAUUAGCUAGUUGGCGGGGUAAUGGCCCACCAAGGCGACGAUCAGUAGCCGGCCUGAGAGGGUGAUCGGCCACACUGGAACUGAGACACGGUCAAGACUCCUACGGGAGGCAGCAGUGGGGAAUUUUGCGCAAUGGACGAAAGUCUGACGCAGCAACGCCGCGUGGGUGAUGAAGGUCUUCGGACUGUAAAACCCUGUCGUCAGGGACGAAGGUCGCAGUGUUAAUAGCGCGGUUACUUGACGGUACCUGGAGAGGAAGCCCCGGCUAACUCUGUG
rnacentral:rRNA from 1 species